GGCCACUUAUCACUGCCCCUUGCAUCGCAGUUCGGAAGCUCCGGAACCCUGCGUGUCCUUUCCCCCUCACCUAUUCCGGAGCGCUGCCGGCUUCGCUCUCACUGGGCCCGCCAGUUUGGUCCCGUUUCUUUCUCUAGUUAAGACUCCUUGCCAGCGGCCUCACUUUUCGGCCUUUUCACAUAUGCAUAUUUGGGGGGGCCCUUACCCCCCCUCACGGAGAAAUGGAGGCAAUAAAAUGGCGGACCCGGAAGUGAAGGCGCUGUGACUAUACGUCCUGGCGGAGGAAUCUGAAGGAAAUGGGUUAGCGGAGCCACUUUGCCCUUCUCUCAGGACCUCAACGCACCUCUGAGUCCGACUCCUUCCUACUGAGGACCUCGUGAGCUGGAAAAACGUAUACCGCGGGCAUCCUGAGCGGGACUACUUAGCGAGGCGCAGGAUCACCGAUUACGUGGCUUACGUGAGGGAUAGUUCCGGCAGGGGACGGACGCAGAUGGUAGUUUUGGCGCCAACCAGUGCAGCGCUCGGAGGAACUGGUUACUGGAAUUAUCCUCAUAGUGAAGUUUCCCUGUGAAGACUCAAAUCUGAUUUUCUGAGCAUUUCUACCCACAGCUGGAAGCAGAGCUGGAUAUUAAAGGAGCUACCUCUGAAACGGUGCGAUGUUUUUCCUCAUCCCACUCCUUUGUUUCCCACCUUUAACUGCCUGCGUGUUUCUGGGGAAGAGAAUGCAUUGUAAGCAGCAGCAGCAUUUCUUAUCUUAGCCUUUUAGAAAUCCUGUUUUGUAGAAAGUGUCUCAAAAC
rnacentral:lncRNA from 1 species